rnacentral:rRNA from 1 species
CCUACGGGUGGCAGCAGUGGGGAAUAUUGCACAAUGGGGGAAACCCUGAUGCAGCAACGCCGCGUGAGGGAAGAAGGAUUUCGGAUUGUAAAGCUCUGUUAGUAGUGAAGAAAGAUGACGGUAGCUAAGGAGCAAGCCACGGCUAACUACGUGCCAGCAGCCGCGGUAAUACGUAGGUGGCAAGCGUUGUCCGGAAUUACUGGGUGUAAAGGGAGCGCAGGCGGGAGGCCAAGUCAGCUGUGAAAACUGCGGGCUUAACUUGUGGACUGCAUUUGAAACUGGUGUUCUUGAGUGCAGUAGAGGUUGGCGGAAUUCCGAGUGUAGCGGUGAAAUGCGUAGAUAUUAGGAGGAACACCAGUGGCGAAGGCGGCCAACUGGGCUUUAACUGACGCUGAGGCUCGAAAGUGUGGGGAGCAAACAGGAUUAGAUACCCUAGUAGUC